AUUGAACGCUGGCGGCAGGCCUAACACAUGCAAGUCGAGCGGAUGAAGGGAGCUUGCUCCUGGAUUCAGCGGCGGACGGGUGAGUAAUGCCUAGGAAUCUGCCUGGUAGUGGGGUAUAACGUCCGGAAACGGGCGCUAAUACCGCAUACGUCCUGAGGGAGAAAGUGGGGGAUCUUCGGACCUCACGCUAUCAGAUGAGCCUAGGUCGGAUUAGCUAGUUGGUGGGGUAAAGGCCUACCAAGGCGACGAUCCGUAACUGGUAUGAGAGGAUGAUCAGUCACACUGGAACUGAGACACGGUCCAGACUCCUACGGGAGGCAGCAGUGGGGAAUAUUGGACAAUGGGCGAAAGCCUGAUCCAGCCAUGCCGCGUGUGUGAAGAAGGUCUUCGGAUUGUAAAGCACUUUAAGUUGGGAGGAAGGGCAGUAAGUUAAUACCUUGCUGUUUUGACGUUACCAACAGAAUAAGCACCGGCUAACUUCGUG
rnacentral:rRNA from 1 species